rnacentral:rRNA from 1 species
UACAGAGGGUGCAAGCGUUAAUCGGAAUUACUGGGCGUAAAGCGUGCGCAGGCGGUUAUGUAAGACAGAUGUGAAAUGCCCGGGCUUAACCUGGGAACUGCAUUUGUGACUGCAUGGCUAGAGUGUGUCAGAGGGGGUAGAAUUCCACGUGUAGCAGUGAAAUGCGUAGAUAUGUGGAGGAAUACCGAUGGCGAAGGCAGCCCCCUGGGAUAACACUGACGCUCAUGCACGAAAGCGUGGGGAGCAAACAGG